AACAUCUCCAGACUUUAUUAGGUGUUCUUUAUACAGUCAUCUGGUAUGUUUAAAGAGUGAGCAAUCAUAUAAAAGGAAAUAUGGUCAUAACUGAUUGAAGUAAUAAAACCCUGAAACUAAAUAACAUCUCAUAACUCAUUACACAGCAUAUAUUAGAUUUCAUUACAUCAGUAUAUGACUUAGUAGUAAAUUCUCCUGUUGGUCAUAAACCUCUAAAGUGUUGUCAUCCUGAAAAAUGAAAUUAAAAAAGGGAAGACAAUGCCAGGAUGCUUUGGUGGUGCUCAUACUGUUGUGGAACAGCCCCACCUGCUGUUGGGGUGAAGAAGCCUUCAUGGGCCGUGGGUGAUGCUGGGGCAUUUGGCAGGGACCUCAGAGAACCUGGUCACCAAACGCGUUACCCACAGAAAUAGCACUGCUGAGGCCUCCAAUCCCCCUCCUCGCUGAGGGGCACGUACCAACACUUGGCCUACCGAGUCCCAAGGGCUCCCCAGGCCACUGGUGACUUCUGCUGUCCUUCUAAGGCCUGAGCACAGCCCGUAAGGCUGGUGCCUUGCCACAAGGCCUGCUGCACCCAUUUUCCCCCUCCAUUCAACAGCUUAUAAUUACACCAAGCAACCGGUCGGCAAUCGUGCUGCCUGCAACAUCUGGGAGAUCUUAAGGCCGAUCCCAGUCCAAGCGGCACUGAUGUAAUUGUUUUGCUGGGUGAAGGAUGAUAACUCUCCCCACGUGUGUUUAUACUCCUUCAAAAUAAUCCAAUGGUUUUUUUGAAGAUCACUUAUGUCAACACGUGCUUUAUUGUGUCUUAUGUGUUGUUAAAGUGCUGGGUGGAGGCAGCUGGGAGAGAAGUCCCCUUUCAAAGCAUACCUUCUCUUGUCCUUCUCGAAACAGUUUGUUGGAUCAGUGUAAAGCAGAGAGGCUUUAACGGCUGUUUUGGAGAAUUUUUAGCUAAUUGAGGUAAACCAAACAUACCUAGCUGCUUUUAUGACUCUUUCAGAGCAGUAUCUUUUUAAGCUAAUACUCCACUGGGGAGCACAACUCGCAGACAAAAGCCCUCUGAAGUGCCUUGAAGAGAUCUGAGCUCUGGGCUCUGAACUUUGCUGCUUAUAAACAAUCAUUUCAAUCUGCCAGGCCACAGCGGGAGUAUGAGGCUUCAUAAAAGGGCUUAGGUGUUGUAACACUGAACGCAGCAGCGCUUCGCUGGGUGUCUCGCUAUCCAGCCUGCCCACGCAAUCCAGAAGACUUCAGACACAAAGAACCAGAUCUGCACAAGCCAGCAGGGAACCACUUCAGGAAACGUUGAAGAGAGCAUAGCCCAGCUGUGCUGAGGUACCUCUUUCUGAUCGGAUUUCAAACCUCAGAUCCCUUCCCAGAGUAGGGACUGAAGCAGCACACGCUCAUAAAACAGCAACGGCAAUUAUAACACUUGCUUAGGCCUUGGAAGAGAAAGACCCAGGUCUCCUCUUACACUGCAGAGAUGCGAAUAUCCACUCCCACCCUCAGGCUGUGACUAUUGGGAUGUCCUCUGGAAGCCCUUCUGCUUUUCAUGGGAGGAAGCAGAUGAGGUUAGGCCAGGGGAAAUGGAUACUUCGGUUCUGUCUGGGCACUCUGGCAAUAGGACAAGGACAGCUUGGGUCCCUCUCCCAACUCAGUUAAAUGAAAGAUACGUAUUUUCAGAGAAGACUGAAACCUCAGUGAGCACCAUGACCUGGGCGGGGUGUGGAGGGCAAAGCUAAGACACACAGGUGCCACCCUCUCUAGCAGCAUGCAAAGCUUUUCAUGAAUAAGAGGAAUUGAGCCCAUUGCCUGCCAGCAUAAAUUAGCUUUGAAUCACU
rnacentral:lncRNA from 7 species